AACUGAUACUACCUGCGGGAACCUGCGGAGGGAUCAUUAUCGAAGUAUAUAUUUUUAAUUGAUUUCGAUCAUUUAAAAAUAUUAUAUUUAUAUUCUACCAUGUGAAACGGAAACAUUUUUUUUGUUUAAACGAGAUGAUACGUUUGAUGUGAUUGUAUGUUCAUUUAAGUUUAACUUAAAACAACUUUUAACAACGGAUCUCU
rnacentral:misc_RNA from 1 species